UUGGAGGGCAAGUCUGGUGCCAGCAGCCGCGGUAAUUCCAGCUCCAAUAGCGUAUAUUAAAGUUGUUGCAGUUAAAAAGCUCGUAGUUGAAUUUCGGGGUUCUACCGUUGGUCAGGCAAUAGUCUGUACUGGCGUGUGGAAUUUCUACCUUCUGGGGAACCAUCAUGUUAUUUAUUUAGCGUGGUGGGAAACCAGGACCUUUACCUUGAAAAAAUUAGAGUGUUCAAAGCAGGCUUACGUCUGAAUACAUUAGCAUGGAAUAAUAAAAUAGGACGGUGGUCCCGUUUUGUUGGUUUCUGAAUCACCGUAAUGAUUAAUAGGGAUAGUUGGGGGCAUUAGUAUUCAAUUGUCAGAGGUGAAAUUCUUGGAUUUAUUGAAGACUAACUUCUGCGAAAGCAUUUGCCAAGGAUGUUUUCAUUAAUCAAGAACGAAAGUUAGGGGAUCGAAGACGAUCAGAUACCGUCGUAGUCUUAACCAUAAACUAUGCCGACUAGGGAUCGGACGGUGUUAACCUUUAUUGACUCGUUCGGCGCCUUACGGGAAAC
rnacentral:rRNA from 1 species